rnacentral:rRNA from 1 species
CGGACCUCAGAUCAGGCAAGACCACCCGCUGAGUUUAAGCAUAUCACUAAGCGGAGGAAAAGAAACUAACUAGGAUUU